rnacentral:rRNA from 1 species
UUGAUCCUGGCUCAGGAUGAACGCUAGCGGCAGGCUUAACACAUGCAAGUCGAGGGGUAUUUAUCUUCGGAUAGAGAGACCGGCGCACGGGUGCGUAACGCGUAUGCAAUCUACCUUUUACAGAGGGAUAGCCCAGAGAAAUUUGGAUUAAUACCUCAUAGCAUAGCAGCUUCGCAUGAAGCCACUAUUAAAGUCACAACGGUAAAAGAUGAGCAUGCGUCCCAUUAGCUAGUUGGUAAGGUAACGGCUUACCAAGGCUACGAUGGGUAGGGGUCCUGAGAGGGAGAUCCCCCACACUGGUACUGAGACACGGACCAGACUCCUACGGGAGGCAGCAGUGAGGAAUAUUGGACAAUGGGCGCAAGCCUGAUCCAGCCAUGCCGCGUGCAGGAUGACGGUCCUAUGGAUUGUAAACUGCUUUUGUACGAGAAGAAACACUCCUAUGUAUAGGAGCUUGACGGUAUCGUAAGAAUAAGGA